GGGCCCGCACAAGCGGUGGAGUAUGUGGUUUAAUUCGAAGCAACGCGAAGAACCUUACCAGGCCUUGACAUGGUCCUAAAGACCCUAGAGAUAGGGGGAUAGUUAUAGGACACACAGGUGGUGCAUGGUUGUCGUCAGCUCGUGUCGUGAGAUGUUGGGUUAAGUCCCGCAACGAGCGCAACCCUUGUCGUUAGUUACCAUCAUUCAGUUGGGGACUCUAGCGAGACUGCCGGUGACAAACCGGAGGAAGGUGGGGAUGACGUCAAAUCAUCAUGCCCCUUAUGGCCUGGGCUACACACGUACUACAAUGGCGAGCACAACGGGAAGCAAGACAGUGAUGUCAAGCGGAUCCCUUAAAACUCGUCUCAGUUCGGAUCGAAGUCUGCAACUCGACUUCGUGAAGUUGGAAUCGCUAGUAAUCGCGGAUCAGCAUGCCGCGGUGAAUACGUUCUCGGGCCUU
rnacentral:rRNA from 1 species